GUCCCUGGGGAAGGUGGAGGAGGAGGACGGGGGCAGGGGAGUUCCAGGCCUUCUGCUCCCUCUGGGAGGAAGCUGCUUUCAGUUUUCAGCCCUCGGAAAAUUCCAGAGAGAGGGCCUGGGGAUGUGUGCUCCGUGACUGGGUUUCAUCUGAUACUGACCGUGCAAAUACAUGGUCAAAGGACAGGGCCGAGGCCAUUCUGAGGAGCAGGUGGAGUGGACGUAGAGGGCUACAGCAGUAAUGCGAUGAGAAAGGAAAAUGGCUUUUGACCUCCGGAUUUUUAAUAUAUUCACAAGCUGACUUAAAAUGACAGAGCCCGGAGAUUUUUGCCUUUGGGCAUGCUGUGCCUCACUUUAUCCUGUCAGUUCCCUGGUGAUCUUUUCUGACCUUAAAAGGGUUUUUUUGUUUAAAGCCCUCGACUUUGGAAAAGUUUAAAUCAGGAAUGUUUUGGACUUCAAAGUGAUCUGUAGCUGGGAGAUUAUUUCUGGCAUGUGUCAUAAUGACAAGUCUCAGGAUUGGGAGGAGGAGUGCUCCCUGGGUGGUUCCAUGGAAGUAGCAGUGUUUGGGUCAUUGUUCACUUAAGCCCCUUUAUUGUCAUCAAAUCUAGGAAUAUCUCAUUGUGAGAGUUAAUGCCUGUAAAUAAACCUUUCUAACAAUG